rnacentral:rRNA from 1 species
GAUGAACGCUGGCGGCGUGCCUAAUACAUGCAAGUCGAGCGAACAGAUGAGGAGCUUGCUCCUCUGACGUUAGCGGCGGACGGGUGAGUAACACGUGGAUCCCCUCCCUAUCAGACUGGGAUAACUUCGGGACACCGGCGCUAAUACCGGAUAAUAUAUUGCACCGCAUGGUUCAAUAGUGAAAGACGGUUUUGCUGUCACUUAUAGAUGCAUCCGGGCCGCAUUAGCUAGUUGGUAAGGUAACGGCUUACCAAGGCAACGAUGCGUAGCCGACCUGAGAGGGGGAUAGGCGACACGGGAACUGAGACACGGUCCAGACGCCUACGGGAGGCAGCAGUAGGGAAUCUGCCGCAAUGGGCGAAAGCCUGACGGAGCAACGCCGCGUGAGUGAUGAAGGUCUUGGGAUCGUAAAACUCUGUUAUGAGGGAAGAACAAAUGUGUAAGGAACUAUGCACGGCUUGACGGUACCUAAUCAGAAAGCCACGGCUAACUACGUG